rnacentral:rRNA from 1 species
AUACGGAGGGUGCAAGCGUUAAUCGGAAUUACUGGGCGUAAAGCGUACGUAGGCGGUUUAUUAAGUCAGAUGUGAAAGCCCCGGGCUUAACCUGGGAACUGCAUUUGAAACUAGUAGACUAGAGUAUGGUAGAGGGGGGUAGAAUUCCUAGUGUAGCGGUGAAAUGCGUAGAUAUUAGGAGGAAUACCAGUGGCGAAGGCGGCCCCCUGGACCAAUACUGACGCUGAGGUACGAAAGCGUGGGGAGCGAACAGGAUUAGAAACCCCGGUAGUCC